rnacentral:rRNA from 1 species
GAACAUGGGGGGACCACCCUCCAAGCCUAAGUACUCCUCAGCGACCGAUAGCGAACCAGUACCGUGAGGGAAAGGUGAAAAGCACCCCGACGAGGGGAGUGAAACAGCACCUGAAACCGGAUGCUUACAAACAGUGGGAGCCCAAGGUUCGUCCUGGGUGACCGCGUACCUUUUGUAUAAUGGGUCAGCGACUUAAAGUUACGAGCGAGCUUAAGCCGAUAGGUGGAGGCGCAGCGAAAGCGAGUCUGAACAGGGCGUUCAGUUCGUGGCUUUAGACCCGAAACCGAGUGAUCUAGCCAUGUGCAGGAUGAAGGUGGGGUAACACCCACUGGAGGUCCGAACCAGUGCCCGUUGAAAAGGUCUUGGAUGACGUGUGGCUAGGGGUGAAAGGCCAAUCAAACUCGGAAAUAGCUGGUUCUCCGCGAAAGCUAUUUAGGUAGCGCCUCGCGUGAAUACCUCACGGGGUAGAGCACUGGAUGGGCUAGGGCCGCCCACAGCGGUACCAAACCCAACCAAACUCCGAAUACGUGAGAGUACUGCGCGGGAGACACACGGCGGGUGCUAACGUCCGUCGUGGAGAGGGAAACAACCCUGACCGACAGCUAAGGCCCCCAAUUCGUGGCUAAGUGGGAAAGGAUGUGGGACUCCCAAAACAACCAGGAGGUUGGCUUAGAAGCAGCCAUCCUUUAAAGAAAGCGUAACAGCUCACUGGUCU